GUGAGGGAAUGGGUGACUAGUGGCAGAGUGAGGGAGGGAAGGGGUGACUAGUGACAGAGUGAGGGGAUGACUGGUGACAGAGUGAGGGGGGGGUGACUGUCACCAGUCACCCCAUCCCUCUCUCUGUCACUAGUUACUCCCUCCCUAACUCUGUCACUGUGUCACCCACUCCCUCACUCUGUCACUAGUCACCCCCUUACUCUGUCACUGUGUUACCCCCUCCCUGUCACUAGUCACCCCCUCCCUCAC